CCUACGGGAGGCAGCAGUGAGGAAUAUUGGUCAAUGGGCGCUAGCCUGAACCAGCCAAGUAGCGUGCAGGAUGACUGCCCUACGGGUUGUAAACUUCUUUUAUAUGGGAAUAAAGUGCCUUACGUGUAGGGCUUUGCAUGUACCUUAUGAAUAAGGAUCGGCUAACUCCGUGCCAGCAGCCGCGGUAAUACGGAGGAUCCGGGCGUUAUCCGGAUUUAUUGGGUUUAAAGGGAUCGUAGGCGGGUUGUCAAGCUAGUUGUGAAAGUUUGGGGAUCAACCGUAACAUUGCAGUUGAUACUGGCAGACUUGAGUAAGGUAGAGGCAGGCGGAAUGCGUGGUGUAGCGGUGAAAUGCUUAGAUAUCGCGAAGAACUCCGAUUGCGAAGGCAGCUUGCUGCAGUGUAACUGACGCUGAUGCUCGAAAGUGUGGGUAUCGAACAGGAUUAGAUACCCUGGUAGUC
rnacentral:rRNA from 1 species